rnacentral:rRNA from 1 species
AUGGACAUGACAGUUGCAUACUUUGAGAGGCGGCAAGAUGAGAAUCCUGAAUUCUACUUUGCAAAAACAUUUGAUGAGGAAACAAACUCUGUCAUGGGGCUGUUUUGGGUUGAUGGGAGGACAAGGGCAUUGUACCCUAAGUACAAAGAUUGCAUCUUCUUUGACACCACCUUUUGCACAAAUAGGUAUAACAUGUCGUUUGCUCCGAUUGUCGGUGUCAACAACCAUUUGCAAACAAUUUUGCUAGGGUGUGCUUUGCUUCCGAAUGAACAGAUUGAAACUUUCAAGUGGGUGUUCCAGCAUUUUUUGAUUGUGAUGAACAAUGAACACCCAUUGAACAUCAUGACAGACCAGGACAAGGCAAUGGAUACAGCCAUUUCUGAAGCCUUACCAAAUACAGUGCAUAGAUGUUGCAAAUGGCAUGUCCAGCGGAAAGCGAGGGAGAAGUUGGGUAGAAUACUCAGCAGGGAUGAAGUUUUUGAACAAGCUUUCUACACAUGCAUCAACGAUCCGGACACGGUUGAUGAGUUUGAGGAGAACUGGCAGCACAUGAUACAUUGCUUUGAAUUGGAAGAUAAUAGACACCUUUGCAACAUGUGGCGGACUCGGCAUACCUGGGCUCCAACAUACAUCCGGAAAUGCUUCUUCCCCUUCACAAGCACUACAGGGAGGUCGGAGGCCUCAACUCUUACUUCAAGACAUUCAUCAAUCCUCAACAGUCGGUUUGGAAAUUUGUGCAGCAGUAUGAGGUGCUCCAGGAGACAAUGCUAG